AGUGAACGCUGGCGGUAGGCCUAACACAUGCAAGUCGAACGGCAGCACAGUAAGAGCUUGCUCUUACGGGUGGCGAGUGGCGGACGGGUGAGGAAUACAUCGGAAUCUACUUUUUCGUGGGGGAUAACGUAGGGAAACUUACGCUAAUACCGCAUACGACCUACGGGUGAAAGCAGGGGAUCUUCGGACCUUGCGCGAUUGAAUGAGCCGAUGUCGGAUUAGCUAGUUGGCGGGGUAAAGGCCCACCAAGGCGACGAUCCGUAGCUGGGCUGAGAGGAUGAUCAGCAACAAUGGAAAUGAGACACGGACAAGAAUCCUAAGGGAGGCAGCAGUGGGGAAUAUUGGACAAUGGGAGAAAGCCUGAUCCAGCCAGACCGCGUGGGUGAAGAAGGCCUUCGGGUUGUAAAGCCCUUUUGUUGGGAAAGAAAAGCAGCAGGUUAAUACCCAGCUGUUGUGACGGUACCCAAAGAAUAAGCACCGGCUAACUUCGUG
rnacentral:rRNA from 1 species